GUAAGCAGUCUUCGGUUCGGUCACAUUUUUGAAUCGCAACACGAAAAAGUUUAUUUUAAUUUUGUUUCCCUUCUUUCUCUCGUCUCUUGUGAGAAGAAUAACAACAGCUUGUAAGCAAACAAAGGCAUCGUUGAUCAACGCUAAUCGAUGUUUCAUUACAGAAGUGCGAAAUUGAAAUAAAAAAAAAAACCAUUUUGAGUUUUUGUGUGUGAGAGAAAGAGAUUCAUUUAUAAAAUUAUUUAUAGUGUUUACGCUGUGUGUUUCUUAUCUCGCUGCUUUAAAUUCAGCUAGCUGAAGUCUUAUCACUUUAGAUUUUUCGGCGAUUAAUGUGGCAAUGUUACGAUAAACUCAUCGUAUAAAUAACAAAAUCCCAACGUGCAAAAAAAAGAAUUUGCAGAAAUACUUUCAAUCGUCGCCAAUAACAAACGAAAGAAAAAACGGUUGGCAUUUUAUUCCUGCCGAAGUUGUAAGUGGCUGUGUGUAUGUGACAUUUUAACCAUUUGCAGAGUUUUUGCAUUAAGUAUUAAUUUUGAUCCAAUCGAAAUCGAUCCACCAUCGAUGAAUCCAACUGUUCUGCUUGUAAAAACCGUGCACUUCGUUUCGAUAAUAUUUGUGGUGAAGUGAAAUGCGAUUGUGUGUUAUUUCAUGAAAAAAAUGUGAAUGUAACCAUUUUGUGUUUCGGUGGUUCACAAAAGAAGCGUGUUGUAAGAAACGGUUUUUGGUGUUGAAGUUUUGGAUUACCAACAACCAAAGCAACAUGGAAUAUGAACGCUGCGAAUCCAUCAAAUUGAAAAAAGUGCUGGGUUUGACGGUUUGCAGUAACGCAGCUUUAGAUGUUUCGCCAACGACAGGUGUAAUUGCCUAUCCGGCCGGAUGUACCGUCGUAUUGUUCAACGUAAAGAAGCUUAGCCAAGCAUAUUUAUUGAAUACCUCGCGCAAAGCGAUCACAGCUGUUGCCUAUUCGCAAUGCGGCCGAUAUAUCGCAACGGGCGAAUGCGGCCAGAAUCCAGCAAUCAAAGUGUGGGAAUUGGAUAGCAGUGCGGUAAAUGGAAAUAUUGAAUUGCCCGGUGGCAAUAAUGUUGGUGGUGUUGUGAUUGCCGAAUUCUUAGGUCAUAAGUAUGCCACGAGUUGCAUUACAUUUUCGCCAAAUGGAAAGUAUUUGGUGUCGGUUGGGUCACAGCACGAUAUGAUCGUCAAUGUGUUUGACUGGCGACAGAAUUUAAAAAUUGCAUCGAAUAAAGUCAGUGCCAAAGUAUGUUCGGUGUGUUUCAGCGAGGAUGGUAAUUAUUUUGUGACGGUUGGCAAUCGGCAUGUGAAAUAUUGGUAUUUGGAAGGCAGUCGAAAGUACAAAGAGCCAAUUCCGUUGAUGGGACGCAGUGCCAUUUUAGGAGAAUUACGAAACAAUGAUUUCUGUGCGGUGGCAUGUGGCAAAGGAGACGCCGCCGAUAGCACAUAUGCAAUCACCCGAAAUGGACAGCUGGUCGAGUUCAAUUCACGUCGGCUGCUCGACAAAUGGGUCGAUUGUCGGACCACAUCAGCGAAUUGUCUGAGCACCAGCGGCCAAUUCAUUUUUGUCGGUUGCGCCGAAUCAAUCAUUCGCGUUUUUAAUGCCGAAAAUUUGGAAUACAUGACAACGUUGCCGCGAACACAUUAUUUGGGCGUUGAUGUGGCGCAGGGUGUUCACAUCAAUCACAUUACAUCGGCACCGCCAAAUUCCAAAUAUCCCGACACAAUUGCCAUGGUCUACGAUGAAGUGCAUGCAAAAUUAACGUGCGUUUACAACGAUCACAGCUUGUACAUUUGGGAUCUGCGGAAUAUUCAACGGGUUGGCAAGAGCCAUUCGUUUCUCUAUCAUUCAGCCUGCAUUUGGGGAGUUGAAACUGUGCCAUACAACACACUUAAAAAUCAUCUGACACACAACUUGCCAACGGACUGUUUCCUCACAUGCUCCUCCGAUGACACAAUUCGCGUUUGGAACAUUGAUGGCUGUGAAACGAACGAAGUCUAUCGCAAGAAUAUCUACAGCAAAGAUCUGUUGAAAUUGUUGUACAUCGAUCCAGAGAUGAAUUACAUCAAAGACAUGGAUAAUCCGAUACUUAAUAUGGAAAAAUCGUCGAGCUACGAUGGUCGAAACGGUGUACGAUGCAUUAAAGUCAGCCCGGAACGAAGCCAUUUGGCGACGGGCGAUCGCAGCGGCAAUAUUCGAAUUUAUCAUUUAGGCACAUUGAAACUACUCACAACGAUCGAAGCGCACGACUCAGAAGUUCUCUGUUUGGAGUAUACAAACGAUAAAAUCGAACGCCGUCUUUUGGCCAGUGCAAGCCGAGACCGAUUGAUUCAUGUGUUUGAUGUUGACAUUGGAUACCAAAUUUUACAAACACUCGACGAUCACUCGAGCAGCAUCACAUCGGUGAAAUUCAUCGGAAGUGGGCUGACAUUUCAAAUGGUCUCGUGCGGUGCUGAUAAGUCAAUCAUUUUCCGAAACUUUCAACAAAAUCAAUUUUUACGUGGCAACAAUUGCUCCGGCAAAACCACACUCUAUGACAUGGAAGUGGACAGUAACAAUAAACACAUUUUGACCGCCUGCCAAGAUCGCAAUAUUCGAAUUUAUGGAACACAAAAUGCCAAACACACGAAAACAUUCAAGGGAUCACAUUCGGAUGAGGGCAGUUUGAUCAAAUUGAGCCUCGAUUUGAGCGGAAUUUACAUUGCAACCUCUUGCACCGAUAAGACACUCAGCGUUUACGAUUACUAUUCAACGGAAUGCAUGGCACGAAUGUAUGGUCACAGUGAAUUGGUCACCGGAUUGAAGUUCACAAAUGACUGCAAACAUUUGAUUUCGGCGAGUGGUGAUGGAUGCAUAUUCAUUUGGCAAGUACCACAUGAUAUGAUCGUUACAAUGCAAGCCAGAUUAUCGCAACAAGCAAUUCGAUCUGGUGGCACAAUACCCCGACCCAUCGCUUCGCCAACGAAUAACGAAAUGAACGAAUCGCCAUCAUAUUUAAAUCACAAAAAUAUUCGACCACCGGAACAAUUCCAAACACCUACGCCGAAUUUCUUCACCGAAGACGUUCCUAUUUCACCCGGAUAUCGAUUUUCGGAUGUUGGCCAGUUGCCGCAAUGGGCGAAGAAAAAGACACCAACGGAAGAAAAUGCCGACAAUGUGCUGAGCUCAAGUCCUAGUCAAUCGAAUCAACCACAGCCGAAAACAAGAGGUCGAUGGGCACAAAAAGGACCAUUCGAACCAGAUGAACUACGAGCCACGUCACCGGGUGAUGCAACCGUUUCAUCGACAACACCACCCAUUCCCACAGCCAUAUCAUACACAAUACCAAUCAUUCAGACAAAUCAUCAUAACAACAAUCAAACGUCCGAUUACAACAGCGCCAGUUCAAAGGAUAUUUAUACAAACACGUAUCUCAGCGAAGACAGUUCGAUCGAUAGCGGAGUUGAAAAUCGACGCGAUUUAUUGCUCGUCAAUAAAAAUACUCCAAAAGGUAGCCUACAAUUCGAAUCAAAUACCGAGCACGAUGGUGAUAUCGAAGAUAUUUCUGAUGGCGAACGAACCAGUUCUGACCAUGGAAUGACCUUUUACCCGAAUGUGCCUGGCACACCAACUGGUGACUUCAAAGUGAAUGCCAUGAAUGAAGAAGAGCUGCGAAAGUCGGUGAGACGUCAAAAGUUCGAGAAACAAGGCUUGAGUCUUACAGCGUCACAAAGCGGAACAAAUACAGGUACUGGUACAUCGGACGAUGAAGAUGAUGCAUCAACGCCAAGCGGUGAUAAUGCCGAACGUUCGCUGGCCUCAACGUUAGGUGGCAGCAAUGAAAAUAUUCCCCUUCAACAGUCCACAUCAUUCUUGCAAGCUGCGCUCGAUGGCCCAGGAAGCUUGUCAGAUCGUAGCGAUCGAAAGCGUCGCAGUAUCAGUUCGAAGCACAAUAACUCGGAUGUGAAGCCGAACUACACAAAAUCGUUUGCCAACAGCAAAAAAGAGGAGCUCAUGAAAGUCAUCAACGAAGCAAAACAAAAGUUGGAAAACGGGCAAAAAAGUCGCAUGAGAGAUGCAAAUAAACAGAACACAAUACAAACACAAACUAUACACGAGGUGGGCUAUCGUUCAACGUUACGAGCUAGUCAGAGUAUAUCAGAUCUGACCCAUUCAGCGAACUUGGACCGGGCGCGAUUGCUGAAUCGUUUGCCGCAGCAAGAAGAUACUAAUCCGUUUAGAAACACCAAUUAUAACUGUUGUCCUAGUAAUUAUGUACCGAAUCAUUACUAUCAUCACGGUUCGAAUAGCAACUAUUUGAAUUGCGCUGCACCAAAAUCCGUUCUAACGCACAAUUGCCAAAUGAUUCGUCAGAUUCAACGUGAUUAUCCACCAUAUCCAACGGAUGUUGGCGUUUAUUAUACAAAUGCACAAACACAACCACUACCACCACCACCUCAUCCAUAUUACACUGCACCGUAUCCAAUGCAAUCAACACCGCCAUGUAGUUCGCCACAGCAUUCAGUGCCGAUUAGUAAUUCGUUGCGGCCAAACGCAUUAGAUCUUACAGCCGAGCAGAAAAAUGCGACGUCGAAAGUUAAAGGGCCAAAGCAUCCGGGUAUUUUGAAAAAUUAUAAAUCAUGCCCAGUGUCACCAGUGCAUGAGGAAAUCGAUUGGACAACAAUCGAUGGAUCACGUCAAUCGAACGCUGAGAAUAUGAACCAGCAUCGCAAUGAAGUUGAUCAUAAACGGCAUUCGAUGUACAGUGAAGAUGCCAAAACGAUUUUGGAUAUGAUUCACGCUGAUACAGAGAAAAUGAUUGCCGAAAUCACACAGAAAUAUGGUGAUCUUGAUGUUGAUAAACCACUACCGAGCACAAAUAAACCAGAGCCCACAACGAAUCGCAACUCAGGUGAUGUUCCAAUGCAAGAAGACGAAGACGGCAGCUUCAGCUCCGAUUCAUUGGAAGAUUGUAGCCUAGAUUUAGAUUAUAGUGGAAAAUGUCAAACGAAUCCACGCACUAGAAAGUCCGUUUGUAGGAAAAAACAUCGAAAAAAUGAAAACAUUUCAAUGAUGCCAACCCGAUCCGUUUCCGAUUACUUUAUUUAUGAUGAAUUUUAUUUGAAUCGCAAUCGAAAUGUGUCACUGUCGGAUAUUUUAAAUGAGGAUGCUGACAAACCAAAGCCAAACUACGCCUUCCUCAGUUCGCAACGCCAUUCGAGUGCCAGUUUCUUUUUGGCGCCCGAACAAAAGAGUCAAGAGAGUCUGAUUUCGGAUGAUAUGAGCGGAUGCGGUGUUAGCUAUUGCAACAGCAUGGAAAGUAUUCUGUCUGAUGAGUCUGAGUGUAAAAGCGUACCACUUGAGGUGUUAUUUACGAAAACUAAACGCGAUAUUCUGUGCCGCGCUCCAAAUAUGUAUGAUUCUAGGUUUGAGGCACAACCAACCACUUCGAAGUCGUAUGGCUCCAGUCCGAAUAAUAAUGUUUUUGAUUACUACAUGGAUCAUCAGUAUGGUCAUGGUUUUCAUGACCGAGACGAAUGCAAUAUUGCAAAUUAUGACUACGAUUGUUUGAUGAUGAGCAAUAACACUUCGGCCAGAACAUCGAAUCGCUGUUCACCGCUGCCGCCACCACCGCCUGAAUUCCAGAAUAUCACCAAAUCCACGGGCAUUCCGAAUUCGUGUACAUUCCCAUCGUUAUCGACCACCGCAUACCAUCCGAGGAAUGAUGACUUUAUUCCACGCUUCGGAUCGAAAAACGAUCAAUAUUCCAAUCAUACCAAUAGGAGUUUGAGCAAAGAAUUUGCCAACGAACGACAAGUUAAGAAUUCAAAUCCACUGUAUGGAUGCGACGAUGAUGAAGACUUCUUCGAGCGAAAACUCGUAAAACCUGCUGUUCCAGCCAAACCAAGCAAUUUGGUGGCAUCCAUUGAAAUAAUCAAACCAUUGCCAUCGACAAGUAACACAACAUCAGAUCCAUCACAAGUGAAGCGUUCAUGCAGUUUCGAAAUUGAAAUGUUCCAUAAUCGCGGCCGAAUUUUGCAACAAAAGAGCGCCGCCAAGAAGUACGAGCAAAACUUACAGAAAUUCGAAAAGGAUCGGAAUCGAAUGCGCAAUUCAAAUGCACAAUAUGGAGGCACAAUGGAAAUGCCGUACGUUCCACAUAAGCCACCAGUGGCGAAUCGUCGUUCGGCAAGCAUGAAAGCCAAAAGAGGUAGCACAAAAGUGAAAGAUCGAAAUAAGAUCGAGGAACGUUCACCGCUUAAAAGAUCCGAAAAAGAGAAGGAAAAAGAAAAGGCACGAGCAAAGCAAAGUCUAAAAGAGUUGGAGAGUCAAGAGACGAAGGAAAUGGAUGAGAGAUCGAUUGAGAUUUACAUCGCCGAAAAGGGUGUAUGUGAAGAUGAUAAUUUGGACAGUUUGGACCUGUAUACCAAGCCGAAUUUGUACAAAGAGAAUUCGGUUGAUUCAUUGGAUGAAAUUGCACCGAAGAACCGUGCAAAGAAAGCUGUCAUUCGAUCCAUUUCAUUAGAUCCAAAACAGUGUAGUUCGACAUCGGUGGUGACGGCGGAUUUUUUAUCAAAAGCCGAGUACACGAAAUUCCGUGACAUUGAAAAGAAAAUUGAUGUAAUCAAUAAAUUGGUGGAAUUGGAAGAAAAGAAACUGGAGCAUGAGCGUUGCGCAAAAGAGAUACGAAUGCGACCAUUCAGUUGUAAUGCCAACGAAAAGGGCUAUGUGAAGAGUUUAACCGUUAAUUUUGAUAAUUUGGCAAAAUCGAUAAAAUUUGAACGCGAGCUAUCAUUACGUUUGCGAGAACGGAAUGAAAUUCGACGGAAUCAUAGUUUGCCGGAUGUGUUGGAAGACACCAAAUAUCGAUUCGAUUGUGAUUUUAAGAAACGCAGACAACGCUCGACUGAUGACUUUCUCGAUGGCUACGGAGUCGAAGGUGAAGUCCAAAUAGCCUAAUGUUACCCUCACAAAACGAUGAUUCUUCUUCUAUUCGACGCGCUUGUUCGCUUAGUGAUUUAAGUAUGGGAAAAGGUUUCAAAUCUCAAAGUUCGCAUUCAUAUAAACCGAUUGCAAGCAGUCGACAGAACACAAACUCAAAUCGCGUGGCAGCCAAGCGAAACAGUACAUUAUCUAGCAAAAUGUCAACGAAUGGAAUGGGCACCCGAAGCGU